rnacentral:rRNA from 1 species
AUUGAACGCUGGCGGCAGGCUUAACACAUGCAAGUCGAACGCGUGGCGGACGGGUGGGUAAUGCUUGGGAAUCUCGCUUAUAGAGGGGGAUAACUACGAGACCCUAUAGCUAAUCCCGCGUACCAUAGGAUGAGCCCAAGUGGGAUUAGGUAGUUGGGGAGGUAAAGGCUCACCAAGCCGACGAUCUCUAGCUGGUCUGAGAGGAUGACCAGCCACACUGGAACUGAGACACGGCCCAGACUCCUACGGGAGGCAGCAGUGGGGAAUAUUGCACAAUGGGCGCAAGCCUGAUGCAGCCAUGCCGCGUGUAUGAAGAAGGCCUUCGGGUUGUAAAGUACUUUCAGUCGGGAGGCGUUACCGACAGAAGAAGCACCGGCUAACUCCGUGCCAGCAGCCGCGGUAAUAC